AUGUGUUAUCAGCUCUCGGAUAUGACUCUUUCCUCACUCUAUUCUAUCUUUUACUCCUCCCUUCUGUCCUCUCCUGUCAUCUAUCCUUCCUCUCCCCAUCCCUUCUGUCCUCACCUGUCAUCUAUCCCUCCUCUCCUCCUCCCUUAUGUCCUCACCUGUCAUCUAUCCUUCCUCUCCCCCUCCCUUCUGUCCUCACCUGUCAUCUAUCCUUCCUCUCCUCUUCCCUUCUGUCCUCUCCUGACAUCUAUCCUUCCUCUCCUCUUCCCUUCUGACCUCUACUUUCAUCUAAUCCAUCCGUCCUCUCCUGACAUCUAUCCUUCCUCUCCUGACAUCUAUCCUUCAGUCUCCUCUUCCCUUCUGACCUCUCCUUUCAUCUAUCUUCCUCUCAGCCCAUCCCUUUGUUCCUUCCUGUCAUCUAUCCUUUCCUCCCUCUUCUCCUAUUCUAUCAUCUCCUGUCAUCUAUUCCGUCCUCAGCCUGACAUCUAUCCUUCAUCUCCUCUUCCUU
rnacentral:lncRNA from 1 species